AUGGAUAGAAAAGUAUCUGAUACAUAUGUAAGUUUUGAAACUUUUCCAAAACAAAGUAGUAGCUACCAAGAUUUUUUUGAUUGGAUACUUAAAUAUCCAAUUUUUAAUGAUAUUAGGCCAAUCAAUUUGUCAAAUCGAUUGAUCAAUAUAUACCGUAAUGAGGAUAAUAAACAGAAAGAAAGAGUGGAAAAAGCAGUAGUAAAAAAAAACAAACCAAUUAAAAAAAAACCAAACGAUGGUGCAAAAAUAUCCAAUAACUUACCUACAAAAUUUUUUAAAAAUGAAAUAAAUAAAAAUGAUUAUAGUUCAAUAUGUAACUCCAAAUUUUACGUAAAUAUAAUUAAAAAGAGUGAAACUAUUUGUAAUACUUAUAAUGAAAGUUUGAAAGAAGAAAGAAUAAAUAAAUUAAUACUCAAAAGAGUUCAAGAAAAAUAUUUAAAAAAAAAAGAAACGAACAAAAAAUGUAUUUAUACACCAACCAGUAACCCGAACGCAUUUAUAAAUACAAAACAAACUGUAUUAUUAAAAGA
rnacentral:lncRNA from 1 species